rnacentral:lncRNA from 1 species
CUUCUUAAAAGGCCAGUGGGAAAGGGGACCUGUUUGACCUUAAGCCUUCUUUCCCUCCUACAGCCUGGGCUGCAGAUGAGGUGGCUGAAGCUUGACAGCUAUCUUAGAUCACAAGGAUUCUUCAGCACCUGCUCUGAUGGGUUCUUUGAAAAAUUCAUCUCUUGAAUAAUGAAACAACGGCCUGAGGGAGGAACGUGGAAAUAGACGGUUUACAGCCAAAGCCCAGAAGGAAGCUGUGGACUUCUUGAAUCUCCCGAGGACCCGUGGGUCUUCACUCUGAAAGGAAGGAUUGUCCACCCGGCUCAGCAUCUCAUCUCUACAACCGGAGGUUGAAGUCCCUAAUGCUGACCUUUAAAUAGCGGAUGUGUGGAUCGUUCCAACAUGGCUGGACUCUGAAAGAUGGCUUUCAUCCUGUCCAGGAUACGAGAUUGCACCCACGCUUUAUCCAGCAUGAAGGAGCAGAGCACUUCCUGGGAGAAGACAGACCUUGGCUUUGUGAGCGGGACACGUGGAAACGGGAGCUUUGUCGGGUGGGUCUGAGGGACAUGGCAGGCCAGCCACCUGAACAGUGAACUUGAGUGAUUGCAUAUACUAAUGAUGGUUACAACAGUGCUCUGUAGCUACUUCCUGUUUUGUUACCACCAUGCAAGAGGCUCAGCCUCUCUGGGUUCUGGGCAGCUUGUGGCUUCCACAGUGAGCAUUCCAAGAAGGAAACUAGCUUCUGGAGUUGAGCCCUGACUUCUCUUUGUCCCUGCAGGUGAGGUGACUCAAAGUCUCCUUUCAACACCUAUUCUUCAUUCUCUUGCUGGGGGCCUGGAGGUUUAUUGGCCUGUCCCACCAAGACACCCGGGAUGGUCACAUAGAAUAGUUACACAUUCCCCCGACAGGUCUUCUAGCUCUGUCAUUCUCGUUCAAGCCCUGCGUUCUCUACAUUUGAUCCAGGAAGGCAUUGCCUGUCUAUAGGCAUCAGAUGCUGUAGUGGGCUGACCCUUUCUCAGCUGGUUGGGUCAUUUGUGACUGGGCCACUGUUUCUAGUCAUUGGUAGUUUUUCAUCUCAAUCCCCUUCAACCUCUUCUCUGUCUUGAGACUGAUCCCAUGGUCUUGGAAAUCUCCGAGCCAAUGGUGGGUCAGCAUUCCAGCCCCCCCCAUCUCCGCCCCCUGUCCCCUAAGAAUUCCAUGGACUGACCAUGUAUGGGUUUAUCAGAGGGCCCAGCAGAAUUCAGCCUGGGUCCCCAGUCCACAGCACAUGUAUUUUUAGAUUCCUUCCUUGCUUGCUCUAUUCCCCCACUCCCUCUCUUGGGCUUCCAGGAGGUGCCUCCAGAAUGAGCCACUUGCACCAGUGACCUUAUAUUGAGAUCUGUUCUGUCUAUUAGUAGGGGCUCUCUAGAGGAACAGAAGUAAUAGGCUGAAUAUAUAUCAAGAGGGGGUUUAUUAGAUUGGCUUCCAUGAUAUAGUAUAGUCCAACAAUGGCUGUCAUCAUAUCAGAGGCUGAGAACCAGUGGUUGUUCUGUCCUCGAGGCUGGAUGCCCCAGCAGUUCUUAUCUGGUAUUGGAGGCCUGGUGAGUUCCUCGAGAGCCCCUGGUCUUCCAUAGUGGAAGGCUGAGGAAGUGGAGUUCCCGAGUCAGCUGAGGAUGGUGGUGGUGGUGGCGGCGGCGGCAGCGGCAGUAGCAGCAGCAGGGUAGACGCAUCCACAGUGAGGUCUGUCUUUCCACUGUGGGUCCCAGGGAUCAGAUGUCAGUCAUCAGUCUUUAUAGUAGGUGCUUUUACACUCUGACCCAUCUCACUGACCCCAACGUUAAUUCUUUAUGAAAAAGAAACAAUAUAAAAUGUACUCGAGUCUCCAAACAGACUCGACG